GUGUGUGUGUGUGUGUGUGUGUGUGUGUGUGUGUGUGUGAUGUAACCAUUGUUUGACAACUUCAAGAGCUGAGGGUGUGAUGAGGUUUGGGAAAUUUUAUAUGUAGUUUCAGCCCAGUUUUCAAGAACUGCUGGAGAUAGAUGUGUCUAUUUUCUGAGAUGUCCCCAGAAUCUUUUCGGAGCAACCAGAUGGCAGCCAGACACAAUCUGAAAGGUGUUGUUUGAGAAACCACUGUGUUGAUAAUCCAUGGCUUCAGCUUUUCUGCAAUGUCUAGAAAUCACUGGGACAAGUUCAGGAAUACAAGAUACCUGGUUCUUACAGUUCCAACACUACCUAAGAAGCACAUGGUAUUGUUUAGCUUCUAGAAAAAGUUUCUACCCACUUCCCUUCCCUUGAAGAUCCACUCCUACUCUAUCCUUUCAGAAAAGUGUUUUCAGCUGCGAGGUGGUGGAGCAUGCCUUUAAUCCCAGCACUCAGGAGGCAGAGGUAGGCGGAUCUCUGUG